UACAAAGGUCUCAAGCGUUGUUCGGAUUCAUUGGGCGUAAAGGGUGCGUAGGUGGCGCCGUAAGUCGGGUGUGAAAUUUCGGAGCUUAACUCCGAAACUGCAUUCGAUACUGCGGUGCUUGAGGACUGGAGAGGAGACUGGAAUUUACGGUGUAGCGGUGAAAUGCGUAGAUAUCGUAAGGAAGACCAGUGGCGAAGGCGGGUCUCUGGACAGUUCCUGACGCUGAGGCACGAAGGUCAGGGGAGCAAACGGG
rnacentral:rRNA from 1 species